GAUGAAGAACGUAGCGAAAUGCGAUAAGUAGUGUGAAUUGCAGAAUUCCGUGAAUCAUCGAAUCUUUGAACGCACAUUGCGCCUUCUGGUAUUCCGGAAGGCAUGCCUGUUCGAGAGUCAUUAACAACCGUUUCGAUCCCUUUCUUUCAGAAAUUACAAAGAGGAAAAGGGUUUGGUUAUGGUGGAGGAGGGAAAGGGAGCGUUUAGCCUGUAAAAAAAGAGGCUGUGUUCCGCCACCCCCCCAAAAUUGUACAGGCGGUCGUGUGCGCCCACGCAUCGAGGUGUUGUAAAAGCUGCCACGGCACUUUUCACCUGUGCAGUGCGAGAUUGGCCAGCCGGUUUAAAAACCCCUCCAAACAAUCAAAGGUUGACCUCGGAUCAGGUAGGGAUACCCGCUGAACUUAAGCAUAUCAAUAAGCGGAGGA
rnacentral:misc_RNA from 1 species